rnacentral:rRNA from 1 species
UAGAGUUUGAUCCUGGCUCAGGAUGAACGCUAGCGGCAGGCUUAAUACAUGCAAGUUGAGGGGCAGCAUGAUAUACGCGAGUAUAUUGAUGGCGACCGGCGGACGGGUGAGUAAUAGGUAGGAGACCUACCUCAUACAGGGGGAUAGCAUAGAGAAAUCUGUGGUAAUACCCCAUGAGGUUAUAUGAAUAGAGGCAUAUAAUCAAAGCAUAAGCGAUUAUGCGGUAUGAGAGGGGCCUACUGACCAUUAGCUAGUUGGUGAGGUAAGGGCUCACCAAGGCGAAGAUGGUUAGGGGUUUUGAGAGAGAGACCCCCCACAUUGGAACUGAGAGACGGUCCAGACUCCUACGGGAGGCAGCAGUAGGGAAUAUUGGGCAAUGGGCGAAAGCCUGACCCAGCCAUGCCGCGUGAAGGAAGACGGCCUUAUGGGUUGUAAACUUCUUUACUACGCGAAUAGAGGUUAGUACGAGAUACUAAUAGGAAGGUAGUGUAGUAAAAAGCACCGGCUAACUCCGUGCCAGCCGCCGCGGUAAUUCA